GUUUAAAUAGUUUAAUUAGAAUAGUAAUUUGUGGUGUUAUUGGUGUAUUUAUUUACUUUAAGCC
rnacentral:tRNA from 1 species